rnacentral:tRNA from 1 species
UUUAAAUAGUUUAACAAAAACAUUGGUCUGUGGCGCCAGAGAUAUAAUUGGUUAUUUUAAAUCA